rnacentral:rRNA from 1 species
GACAGAGGAUGCAAGCGUUAUCCGGAAUGAUUGGGCGUAAAGCGUCUGUAGGUGGCUUUUUAAGUCCGCCGUCAAAUCCCAGGGCUCAACCCCGGACAGGCGGUGGAAACUACCAAGCUGGAGUACGGUAGGGGCAGAGGGAAUUUCCGGUGGAGCGGUGAAAUGCGCAGAUAUCGGGAAGAACACCCGUGGCGAAGGCGGCUCUCUGGGACGGUACUGACGCUGAGACGCGAAAGCGUGGGGAGCGAACAGG